rnacentral:rRNA from 1 species
UACAGAGGUCCCAAGCGUUGUUCGGAUUCACUGGGCGUAAAGGGUGCGUAGGUGGCCAGGUAAGUUCGGUGUGAAAGCUCGGAGCUUAACUCCGAAAUGGCAUUGAAUACUAUCUGGCUAGAGGGUCGGAGGGGAGACUGGAAUUCUCGGUGUAGCAGUGAAAUGCGUAGAUAUCGAGAGGAACACCAGUGGCGAAGGCGAGUCUUUGGACGACUCCUGACACUGAGGCACGAAAGCCAGGGGAGCAAACAGG